rnacentral:piRNA from 1 species
UGAAGACUUGAGAGCUGAGGCGCCUGUGCC